rfam:Canis lupus familiaris chromosome 25, whole genome shotgun sequence.
GCCCAGGUGGCUUUGCGGUUUAGCGCCUGCCUUUGGCCCAGGGCCUGAUCCUGGAGACGUGGGAUCGAGUCCCACAUCGGGCU